rnacentral:lncRNA from 1 species
UCUGAUCUGUCAUCUCCUCUGCUCUACUCUAUCAUCUCCUCUGCUCUGCCAUCUCGCUCUCUGCUCUGCUCUGUCAUCUCCUCUCUUUUCCCUCCCCUGUUUCCCCCUUUUUUACACUGAAGCCCUAUACAUCUCUCCCUCACACUCGUUAUUGACAGAAAAAGGAAAAAGGGCGGAGGCUAUUGCCACACCGUCGCCGGCCGUGAGCAGCCGCCGGCUGCUCAUACCCUUAUCUCAAAAAGCGGACAACACACACAACGAAACGCAAAGAUCCAAAAUUCCAGAAAUUCACACAUAGAGCAGCUAAGGUUUGUAAAAAUAUUUUCUUUCAUCAUCUCUAUUUUUCAACAGUUGAUUGUUCAUAUAAAAGCUAGAAAAUAAGUGAUGAUGGGUGUGUGUGUUCGUUGCUGUUUUCUGUGAAGUUAUGGUUCGAAUUUUUACAUGAUGUAUGGAGGAAAUAUGAGGUAACCUUGAUAUGAGUAGGAAAUGAGGAAAAUCUUGUUUCUGAAUUCACCAAAAUUGGAUUUGCGAAUUUAUUCAGCCAAGUUUAAGAAUGAACUUUGGAACUGAAANAAAAAAAGAGAACUGGAAGAAUUAAUGAAGGUUUAAAAUCGUGAAUCACCUUCUUCUGGUUUUGGAAACUUGGGACUGAAUUGAUGAUCUUGGAAUUCCCCCUUCUUCUAGUCUUGAGAGAACCGUGAAUGGGGUGAGCAGAUUAAGGAGAGAGAGUGGAAUUUAGCGUGAAUGGGGUGAGCAAAUUAGGAAGGUGGUGUUAAGGAGAGAGAGUGUUCAUUAGCUUAAUAAGGAAGCUAAGUUUUCGUAGAUAAGGAG